rnacentral:rRNA from 1 species
UACGGAGGGUGCAAACGUUGCUCGGAAUCAUUGGGCGUAAAGCGCACGUAGGCGGCGUGAUAAGUUGGGUGUGAAAGCCCUGGGCUCAACCCAGGAAGUGCAUUCAAAACUGUCACGCUUGAAUCUCGGAGGGGGUCAGAGAAUUCCCGGUGUAGAGGUGAAAUUCGUAGAUAUCGGGAGGAACACCGGUGGCGAAGGCGGCGAUCUGGGUAGAUACUGACGCUGAGGUGCGAAAGCGUGGGGAGCAAACAGG